GCUAUCCUGGAUUGCCAGCCCAUAGAUGCAGUUGUUCUGCUGUGUCUGUAAUAUCUGGCAAAGAGAAAGUGGCUCUUUCUAUGCUCAGUGUUCACAAACCAGUGAACACUAAAAUGUUUUAUAGCCUGAUGUUU
ensembl:snoRNA